rnacentral:misc_RNA from 1 species
AAUGGAACUGUUCAGGGCUCUCACUUCAUCCUAUUUACAACUCUCCCUUGAACCUAUUUCACUUUCUAGGGAGCUGUUGACUAAUGACCUGAGUAUGUGUGAUGCCUGGGAAGCAUGAGUAACCAACCCUUCGCGCACGAGAUAGUAGUUACAGGAGAUUGAUCGGUUGGGGUCGAGUGAUCUCAGGGGUGCGACUACCCCGCGCUCCUUUCAACACAUAAGUAACAUGGCA